UCCAAGAAAGCUACCACACUUUAUCGGGCCAGGGGCCCUAUGGUCUGGCCCCAGAAAGCUCCUGUACAGCAGGGGCCGCUCAGCUCUGGGGUCCAGACAUCGAGCUCUGGGUUGUGGGCAGCCAUGCCCCCCGGACACUGUGUGGACAAAGUAGGAUGGGGCUGCUGACUUAUGCUUCAGGGCCACUGCCUCUGUGACACUUCCUCUGCUGUUUCUCACGCACAGCUCCCCUGAUGCAAUGUGGCUGCACAGAGAGAAGGUGCAGCCCAGGUGGAAAAGGCGAGGGGCAGAGCCAGGGUAAAAGACCACCCAAUGCACCAUUUAGGAAAACACCAUAUUUGCAGCCUGGGUUCCAAUUUUCCAAUGAGCAGGCUGUCUGGAUAUGCCCAGAGUCACCUCAGAAGCAGAGAGCUAAAACCACUCCAACAAGUGGAAAUCAUAUCUGGCUGUUGUGUAAUACUUUGCUUUGAGCAGAAGACUAAAAAGAGCAACAGAGCAACAUAUGUGGGAUGAGUCCUGCCUGUGCAGAGGGCGCUCCUCGAGGCCUGCGAUUCCCAGCUGACCUCAAAGAUUAGAAAACAGACCGGCUGGGGAAGGGACUUGUUCAGGCGUUAGAUGGAAUGACUGACAAACAGAGGGGGAAAGAGGAUGACUGAAAUUGCAAGCAUUUUGCAAGCUAUGUUCUGGAUGUAGACCUCCCCCCUCCCCACACCCUGUACCACACCAGCCACCAGCCUAGAACAGUUCCCUAACCCUGAACGGCAUUCCCACCUCCGAUAACCAGCACUGCUCCACAAUUGAGUUAAAGCUACAAAUGCCCUUCAAGGGUGGCAGCUACUCUGGACGCAAUCUCGACCCCCCACCUUCCCACCUGGAAGUUGGGAUGUUUUUAUAGCUUUGUAACCCACCAUGAUAUGUGACACCCUUCUUAAUCCAUAGACGUAUGAAUGGUACUCCUCAGGGAAAUGAGCCAUUCCAGCCCACAGUGGCCUUUCAGUGGUGGCAAGGCAGGGCAUGUAAAUGACACCCCAGACAAUGAGCCACCCUGGACCGUCCCUCUGUCCUGCACUUGGGCCUCAAAUGUCCUGGAGUCUCCAGGAUGACUGUGAAGUUGUCACCCUGAGUGCACCGGAGCAGCUGCAUUAGUGCUGGGCUGGUUUGAGUCCACCCCUUGGACAGGAGCCAGUGGACAGAGCGAGAUUCCCAGGGACUCCGCAGCACAAGGAAGGAGGCUUCUAAUCCCCCUACCAUGCUCUUCAUGGGGAUCCCAGACUCAGCAUCGUUGGCUGCCACAAUAAUGGGGGUCAUGCUGACUGGGAGGGCACUGCGGACGGACCAAAGCUGCAGAGAAGCCAAGGGUUAGAGGAAGUGAGAGGAGAGGGAUAAGUAAACAGAGAGCAGGGGAGAAAAGUGACUCAUUGUGAAACUCCACAAUUAUCUGUGUCUCAGGAACUGAGAUUGUGCAAGCAUGUGUGCGUAUGUGUGUGUGUGUGCAUGUGUACACUGGCCAGUCUUAGCUGUCAGCUCUCCUAAGGACACAGUGAACCCUCUCCCCUUAGCUCGCAGCCUCUGCCAACAUGCACACCGAAGCACAGCUCUGCCACCCAAGCCCAGGUGCAGGAGGCACGGAGGAGAGAGCUCAGGCUCAAGUGUUUAACAUCUGAGUCCCGGUGACAUAAGUUCCAUGGAGGCAGGAAGCCCGGCUGCUGUUCCCUAGGACCUGUCACUGAGCCACCUCUGGAUAUAUUUGUGCUGACAGCACAGGAAGGAGCAGCACCCUGGCUCUGGUCCUGCCCAAAGGUAACAAGAACCUCUCUUCAGCACAUCCGAAACCCUACAGGCUGUGGAGCUCUGUCCUUCGGCCCACCGCCCUCAGAGCUCACGGACUUCACGUCCCUGGCUGUGCCUGUCAGGGUCCUCUGCGGGAAAGACCCAUAAGAUGAGCAUGUAAGUGUGCAAGGAUUCACAAGGCUGGCUGGGUAAUGCUAUAGCAGCCGCCGGCAGUCGGAGCAGAGAAACCAGGAGCCUCGAGAUCCAAGGAUUCGGAAGUCACAGCGCGAGGGACCUCAAAGGCCCAAGCUCCUAGAGCAUCCACAGCGAGUACACCAAAGGCUGAAGCAGCAGCUCACAGCCACAGCCAUGGCAGCGGCAAAGAAGCCCACUGAGGGCUUCCAUCCUGGACCCUGGCCCAUGGGCCAGCGCCACCACGUUCAGGUCCUCACUAGUGAGAGCCUCGAAGACUCCCCCAGAUGUAUGCCUGCGUAUUCUCUGGACGUCUCUCUAAGCAGCUGGAGUCGAGAUGCAGCUGCUGGAUUUAUAGAGGCAAGAGUGGGCGGAACUAAAGGUGGGCAUUUCCUGCCAACCCACUCUUCCUGUGCCAACUCGGGAAGGGGACGUGCUGCCUUGGAGGCUGGCGAGCGCCUGAGCUGGUGAGGAGGCCUUGUCCCGCAGCCCGUUCUGCACAGUGGGUCGCCUGGGCCCCUGCCUGUCUCAGCAGAACCUGCAGAUGCAGUAAGAUGACUGGAGAUAACUCUGCUAGCUCCUGAUAGACGCAGAUCCAAGAGCAGUCAUGCACACCGCAGGGUGGGAAGACCCUGGAGAACGUCUGGACCCCGGUGCAGCCAAACAAGACUGAUGGGACGUCCAGUGCCAGCUGUUCAGUCCAAGGUCCUACAGCAGACACUUGGUGGAGACAAGGUCCACGCCUAACCUGUCUCAUUCCAGAGCCAUACACCUCACAGUACACGUCCUCACCACUGGGGUGAGAAAACACGCCCUGGAAGGCAAAGGUGCCAGCUCACUGCUUUGGAGCCACACUCAGAGGAUGGGGCCUGGGGCUGCAGAGCUCACUUGCACAGUGGCUUGAUACCUGGUCCCCAGUCUGCACAUAGCAGGUGUGGGGUGGUAUACUCCACCCUGUGCGUGCUGAGCCAGCAACACUGGGGUGAUGGAACCCUGAGAUCUGCUGACUGCAGGAAACCAGUGCCCACUGGCCACAGAUGCAGAUAGGAGAUCCAGGUCGGUGAUCUGAGCCCCAGGUCUCACCCCACUGGGGAGCUACAGCCCAGAGACUCCAAAGGUGCCCAGGGCCGAUGCUCAGUGCCAGGACUAGACAAUCCUACCACCCACUAUGCACCAGGCUCCCUGGGUAGCUACUUAGUCCCCAGAAUGGUGGGCCAGGAGGGCGACCGUCAGCCCAUGCUCCAUGCUCCACAGGGUUUGUUGAAUGACAUCAGGACCCCACAGGGCAAGGUGACCAUCCCUGCUUUCCAGACCAGGAGACUGAUGUCACCAGUGACAGUUACACAAGGACUGGGCAGGGUCAGCCCAGGGAAACUGAGGCUUCUGACUCCAAACCCAAACUUUAGCCUCCACGCUCACCAAGCCCAUCCCUGAGGGACUCCUCCAUCACCACUGGGGAAUCUGGCAAUGGGGAUAUUGCUGGGUAUGGCCAGGGGGAGAUGGGUCCCAGUGGAUGGAGAGAGCUGGGCUGCACUGCUGUCCACCAAGGCCCAGCCUACAGUGUGUCCUGUGAGUUCCUGCAGGAAGACUCUGAAAUGAGAAUCCCAGUGCAAAUGUCUGCAGGGGAAGUGGCGCCAGC